CUACGGGCUGCUGCAGUGAGGAAUAUUGCACAAUGGGGGGAACCCUGAUACAGCAACGCCGCGUGGAGGAUGACGCAUUUCGGUGUGUAAACUCCUUUUAUAUGUCAAGAAAAUGACGGUAGCAUAUGAAUAAGCACCGGCUAACUCCGUGCCAGCAGCCGCGGUAAUACGGAGGGGUGCAAGCGUUACUCGGAAUCACUGGGCGUAAAGGACGCGUAGGCGGGUUGGAAAGUCAGGUGUGAAAUCCUACAGCUUAACUGUAGAACUGCACUUGAAACUUCUAAUCUAGAGUAUGGGAGGGGGAGAUGGAAUUAGUGGUGUAGGGGUAAAAUCCGUAGAUAUCACUAGGAAUACCUAAAGCGAAGGCGAUCUCCUGGAACAUUACUGACGCUAAGGCGUGAAAGCGUGGGGAGCAAACAGGAUUAGAUACCCUGGUAGUC
rnacentral:rRNA from 1 species